rnacentral:tRNA from 1 species
CUGUGGCAAAAUGGAUAAAGCGUCUGUCUCCUAAACUGUUUAACUAAGGUCAACAGAAGAUUGUGGGUUCGAAUCCCACCU